rnacentral:rRNA from 1 species
UUGGAGGGCAAGUCUGGUGCCAGCAGCCGCGGUAAUUCCAGCUCCAAUAGCGUAUAUUAAAGUUGUUGCAGUUAAAAAGCUCGUAGUUGAAUUUUAGGCCUGACCGGACGGUCCGUCUCUGGCGAGUACUGUUCUGCUGUCGGGUCUAUCCUUCUGGUGAGCCGGUAUGCCCUUUAUUGGGUGUGUCGGGGAACCAGGACCAUUACCUUGAAAAAAUUAGAGUGUUUAAAGCGGGCUUUUGCUUGAAUAGAUUAGCAUGGAAUAAUAGAAUAGGACGUUGGUUCUAUUUUGUUGGUCUAGGACCACCGUAAUGAUUAAUAGGGAUAGUUGGGGGCAUUAGUAUUCAAUUGUCAGAGGUGAAAUUCUUGGAUUUAUUGAAGACUAACUACUGCGAAAGCAUUUGCCAAGGAUGUUUUCAUUAAUCAAGAACGAAAGUUAGGGGAUCGAAGACGAUCAGAUACCGUCGUAGUCUUAACCAUAAACUAUGCCGACUAGGAAUCGGGCGACGUUAUUUUCAUGACUCGCUCGGCGCCUACGGG